CUUGCUUGAGUUUCUGAAGAAUGUUCCAUAUCGCGCUAAGCUCAUCACUACUGAUUAUGACAGGCGUGCAACGGCACACAUCCACAGAGCACUCUUCAAAUCAUCUACACAGUGGUUAUCCAACUAGGAUUAUAAAGCUGUCAUGCAACGCAACAACUGUGCUAUCUGCCAUCGCACAUCAACGAAGAAGUGCAGCCGCCCACAUUCCACCUCACGUCUGUCCGACCAGCUGCAAUCCUCGAGGACGCCCCACUGUACCACGAUUUCACUACGAUGUUUGACAAGAAGGAGCAGUGCGCGAGAUAGGCUAAUGAGCAGACUUCCCUCGCUUGAGUUUCGGAAGAAUGUUCCAUAUCGCGCUAAGCUGACCACUGCUGACCAUGACAGGCGUGCAUUGGACUGGUACAGGUUGGAACUAAACAUUGAAUAUGCUGGUGGUGACGCUUUCUGAUGAGAAGUUGGUCGUGACUG